rnacentral:rRNA from 1 species
UACGGGGGGGCAAGCGUUGUUCGGAAUUACUGGGCGUAAAGGGCUCGUAGGCGGCCAACUAAGUCCGACGUGAAAUCCCAAGGCUUAACCUUGGAACUGCGUCGGAUACUGGAUGGCUUGAAUUCGGGAGAGGGAUGCAGAAUUCCAGGUGUAGCGGUGAAAUGCGUAGAUAUCUGGAGGAAUACCGGUGGCGAAGGCGGCAUCCUGGACCGACAUUGACGCUGAGGAGCGAAAGCUAGGGGAGCAACGGG